rnacentral:rRNA from 1 species
GGACUACUAGGGUAUCUAAUCCCGUUUGCUCCCCUAGCUUUCGCGCCUCAGCGUCAGUGAAGGUCCAGUCCGCCGCUUUCGCCACCGGCGUUCCUGAUGAUAUCAACGCAUUUCACCGCUCCACCAUCAGUUCCGCAGACCCCUACCUCCCUCGAGAUGACCAGUAUCCAAGGCAGUUUUCCGGUUGAGCCGAAAGAUUUCACCCCGGACUUGGUCACCCGCCUACGCGCCCUUUAAGCCCAGUGAUUCCGAACAACGUUUGGACGGUUCGUCUUACCGCGGCUGCUGGCAC